GUGAGGAAUUUUCCGCAAUGGGCGAAAGCCUGACGGAGCAAUGCCGCGUGAAGGAUGAAGGCCUAUGGGUUGUAAACUUCUUUUCUCAGAAAAGAAUUAUGACGGUAUCUGAGGAAUAAGCAUCGGCUAACUCUGUGCCAGCAGCCGCGGUAAGACAGAGGAUGCAAGCGUUAUCCGGAAUGAUUGGGCGUAAAGCGUCUGUAGGUUGUUUAAAAAGUAUUCUGUCAAAGAUUAGGGCUUAACCCUAGAUAGGCAGAAUAAACUUUUAAGCUAGAGUUUGGUAGAGGCGGAGGGAAUUCCCGGUGGAGCGGUGAAAUGCGUAGAUAUCGGGAGGAACACCAAAGGCGAAGGCACUCUGCUGGGCCAAUACUAACACUGAGAGACGAAAGCGAGGGGAGCAAAUGGGAUUAGAAACCCCAGUAGUCC
rnacentral:rRNA from 1 species